AAAAUAGGGGUAUUUUUUCUCUCAUAAUAACAGUAAACAGAUUCACAACAAUGUCAAUUUCAAGAAAGCAGACAACAGUUAAUUAGUCAAUAACAGUACAGCAUCAAUGAUCUUGAAUAUAUGCAACUUUUAACUAAAAUAUAAAGGCACAGAACCAGGACAUAGGAGCACAGAACCAGGACCGUUUUUCUUAUCACCAGCACAGCGUCAGGAUAAUUCCGUUUAACGAACUUGCACGACUUUUGCAAUAUAAUAUUGUUGUAAUAUACUUUGCAUGGUACUUAUGACGCAUCAGAGAAAAAUUAAGCAACAAAACAGUCGUUUUAUUGCCGUUCUGAUACAAUGUAAACAAACCCACCAGCACAGAAUCAGGACCCACCAGCACCUGACAGGACCAAAUCACCAGC
rnacentral:lncRNA from 1 species